CACGUAGUUAGCCGGUGCUUAUUCUUCAGGUACCGUCAUUAGAUCUCUGUAUUAGAAAAACCCGUUUCUUCCCUGACAAAAGAGCUUUACAACCCGAAGGCCUUCUUCACUCACGCGGCAUUGCUGGAUCAGGCUUGCGCCCAUUGUCCAAAAUUCCCCACUGCUGCCUCCCGUAGGAGCCUGGACCGUGUCUCAGUUCCAGUGUGGCUGGUCGUCCUCUCAGACCAGCUACUGAUCGAUGCCUUGGUAGGCUUUUACCCUACCAACUAGCUAAUCAGAUAUCGGCCGCUCCAGGAGCAUGAGGUCUUGCGAUCCCCCACUUUCAUCCGUAGAUCGUAUGCGGUAUUAGCGUAACUUUCGCUACGUUAUCCCCCACUCCAGGGUACGUUCCGAUAUAUUACUCACCCGUUCGCCACUCGCCGCCAGGUUGCCCCGCGCUGCCGUUCGACUUGCAUGUGUAAGGCAUGCCGCCAGCGUUCAAUCUGAGCCAGGAUCAAA
rnacentral:rRNA from 1 species